rnacentral:rRNA from 1 species
CAAGUCGACGAUGAUGCCCACUUGUGGGUGGAUUAGUGGCGAACGGGUGAGUAACACGUGAGUAACCUGCCCUUGACUCUGGGAUAAGCCUGGGAAACUGGGUCUAAUACCGGAUAUGACCUUCCAUCGCAUGGUGGUUGGUGGAAAGCUUUUUGGGGUUUUGAAUGGAC